CUAAAUAGUAAUUUUUUCUAGAAAAAUUGAUGUUAAAAAUUGGUGGUUUCUCACGUAGAUGAUUCAAAAUAAAUCAAUCUACUGAUAACUAAACAUACAAAUUUGAAAUUUUCACUGAUUCGAAUGACAAACCAAUAUUCAAGAGCAGCCCACAUGUGGACCUCAAAUUCCAAAUCAAAAAAAUUAUAUAUAAAAAAAUAAGUUUUCAAAUCUUUCGUGUGCAUACAGAGAAUCACCCAGAAGAGAGAAUAACAGCAAGUGAUUGAAAGGAAGUAGAUUAAACAUUGUUCAAGUUGUCUGGCUUUUUAAGAGGUGGAGGAGACGACGAUGGAUGAGAAGAGAGCGGCGCAGCAAUACCUGUACCUGGUGGUGGAGUUGGUGCGCCAUAGACUUGAGCAUUUGUACGAACAUCUUGUCUCCCUUUGGCUCUUCCCAAGAAAUAGCACCCAAAACCAAGCAGUAGAGAGAAGAUUAUCAAAGGCAAAGAGAUCACCACCACCAUACCCAUCUUAACAAGCUGAGGAAGAUAUAGACAGAUGGAUGCAGAGGAGAAGCAGAGAUGGGAAAUUUAUAGGCGUAGGACAGUGGAAAGUGAAGCUGCUGCUUCUGCUUUGUUGCUUAUCAA
rnacentral:misc_RNA from 1 species